UACGGAGGGUGCGAGCGUUGUCCGGAAUCACUGGGCGUAAAGGGCGCGUAGGCGGCAUGCCAAGCGUGUGGUGAAAGCCCGGGGCUCAACCCCGGGUCGGCCGUGCGGACUGGCGUGCUCGAGCACUGUAGGGGCGGGUGGAAUUCCGGGUGUAGCGGUGGAAUGCGUAGAGGAUCCGGAAGAACACCGGUGGCGAAGGCGGCCCGACUGG
rnacentral:rRNA from 1 species